rnacentral:tRNA from 3 species
GGAGGUGUGCCGGAGUGGCCUAACGGGCCGGUCUUGAAAACCGAUGGUGAGGGAAACCUUGCCCAAGAGUUCGAAUCUCUUCGCCUCCGCCA